rnacentral:rRNA from 1 species
UACGUAGGGUGCAAGCGUUAAUCGGAAUUACUGGGCGUAAAGCGUGCGCAGGCGGCUAUGCAAGACAGAUGUGAAAUCCCCAGGCUCAACCUGGGAACUGCAUUUGUGACUGCAUGGCUGGAGUACGGCAGAGGGGGAUGGAAUUCCGCGUGUAGCAGUGAAAUGCGUAGAUAUGCGGAGGAACACCGAUGGCGAAGGCAAUCCCCUGGGCCUGUACUGACGCUCAUGCACGAAAGCGUGGGGAGCAAACAGG